UGAGGAAUCUUGCGCAAUGGGGGAAACCCUGACGCAGCAACGCCGCGUGAGUGAGGAAGGCCUUCGGGUCGUAAAGCUCUGUCAGAUGGGAAGAAAUGGGUGGGGGCUACUAUCGUCCAUCCUUGACGGUAACAUCAGAGGAAGCAACGGCUAACUCAGUGCCAGCAGCCGCGGUAAUACGGGGGGUGCAAGCGUUGUUCGGAAUCAUUGGGCGUAAAGCGCGCGCAGGCGGCUUGGUACGUCAGAUGUGAAAUCCCUGGGCUUAACCCAGGAAGUGCAUUUGAUACGGCCUCGCUAGAGUACGGGAGAGGAAAGUGGAAUUCCUGGUGUAGAGGUGAAAUUCGUAGAUAUCAGGAGGAACACCGGUGGCGAAGGCGACUUUCUGGCCCGAUACUGACGCUCAGGCGCGAAAGCGUGGGGAGCAAACA
rnacentral:rRNA from 1 species